rnacentral:rRNA from 1 species
AGGGUUUGAUCAUGGCUCAGAUUGAACGCUGGCGGUAAGCCUUAAACAUGCAAGUCGUGCGGUAACAGACAUAAAGAUUUAGCUUGCUAAAUCCGGUGCUGACGAGCGGCGAACGGGUGAGUAACACGUAGGAAUCUACCCAGUAGCGGGGGAUAGCCCAGGGAAACUUGGAUUAAUACCGCAUAAGCCCUAUGGGGGAAAGAAGGCCUCUCUUUGAAGCUUUCACUAUUGGAUGAGCCUGCGUAAGAUUAGCUUGUWGGUGGGGUAAAAGCCUACCAAGGCAACGAUCUUUAGCUGGUCUGAGAGGACGAUCAGCCACAUUGGGACUGAGACACGGCCCAGACUUCUACGGAAGGCAGCAGUUAGGAAUAUUGGACAACGGGGGCAACCCUGAUCCAGCUAUACCGCGUGUGUGAAGAAGGCCCUAGGGUUGUAAAGCACUUUAAGCAGGGAAGAAGUAUAGUAAGUUAAUAUCUUACUAUAUUGACGUUACCUGAAGAAUAAGGACCGGCUAACUCCGUGCCAGCAGCCGCGGUAAUACGGAGGGUCCAAGCGUUAAUCGGAAUUACUGGGCGUAAAGCGCGCGUAGGCGGUUUAAUAAGUUGUAUGUGAAAGCCCUGGGCUCAACCUAGGAACUGCAUAC